rnacentral:rRNA from 1 species
GAGUUUGAUCCUGGCUCAGAUUGAACGCUGGCGGCAGGCCUAACACAUGCAAGUCGGGCGGUAGAGAGAAGCUUGCUUCUCUUGAGAGCGGCGGACGGGUGAGUAAUGCCUAGGAAUCUGCCUGGUAGUGGGGGAUAACGCUCGGAAACGGACGCUAAUACCGCAUACGUCCUACGGGAGAAAGCAGGGGACCUUCGGGCCUUGCGCUAUCAGAUGAGCCUAGGUCGGAUUAGCUAGUUGGUGAGGUAAUGGCUCACCAAGGCGACGAUCCGUAACUGGUCUGAGAGGAUGAUCAGUCACACUGGAACUGAGACACGGUCCAGACUCCUACGGGAGGCAGCAGUGGGGAAUAUUGGACAAUGGGCGAAAGCCUGAUCCAGCCAUGCCGCGUGUGUGAAGAAGGUCUUCGGAUUGUAAAGCACUUUAAGUUGGGAGGAAGGGCAGUAAAUUAAUACUUUGCUUGUUUUGACGUUACCGACAGAAUAAGCAACCGGCUAACUCUGUG